rnacentral:pre_miRNA from 1 species
AUGUAUGACACCGUUGACUUUUUGUCCAACGUUUGACCAUUCGUCUUAUUCAAAAAAAAAGUAAUUAUUAUUUAUUUUAUUAUGAAUUGAUUCGUUAUCAAAUGUUCUUUAAGCAUGACAUAAAUAUUUUCAUAUUUGCACAAAAAUUUUAAAUAAAACGAAUGGUCAAACGUUGGUCGAAAAGUCAAUAGCGUCAUACAUU